CUGGGCUAUUUAUUGUGGGGCAGUUUGAGUGUGUAGCGGACCACCGCCACUAAGUUCCAUGCCCACUAAGGGAGUUAGUCACUGAGGGAGAAAUGGGUCUUGGUGCCUGUUCAUUGGUUCCUGAACGGCCGAAGGAAGGGAACUAGCGGAGGUAACCAGUUGGGUUACCUGGUGUUUCGCUACAGAGUCUUACUUUUAGCGGUAAAUUUAU